GGACAAGGCACAAAACAGCAUCGGGACUGAAAAGUGUCACCUGGGAAGACCUACAUUGUAGCGGAUCCAUUAUCACAGCUCACAGCUGGUAGAGAGACCAGAGUGCAGAUGCCUCCCAGGCAGCAUGUUGAUAUAAGACAAUGACCCCAAACACACCUCCAGGCUGUGUAAGGGCUAUUUACCAAGCAGGAGCGUGAUGGAGUGCUGCAUCAGAUGACCUGGCCUCCACAAUCACCUGACUUCAACCCAAGGUGUUAUGGUUACUACAUGAUUCCAUGUGUUGUUUUAUAGUUUUGAUGUAUUCACUAUUAUUCUACAAUGUAGAAAAUAGUAAAAAUUGAGAAAAACCCUUGAAUGAGUAGGUGUGUCCAAACCUUUGACUGGUGCAGUAUAUAUAUUUACUGAACAUCAAUAUAAACGCAACAAUUUCAUUGAUUUU
ensembl:lncRNA